CAAAUUACUUUUGAGGAUUAUAGUCUUCCUUACAUUAAUUGCUUCAUUGUAGUGUACCAUAGACAACUCAUUUAAGACAUAAUUUCUUAUUUGUAGGAAGCAGCGUGUCCUGUCUUUGUAAGCUGUGCUAUUUAUUAGCUUGAGCCUCAUACAAACUUCUUUUGAUGAAACUCCAUGUGCCGUGAUUGAGAAGGACUUUUUACAUGACCAUAAUUUCAGCUGAUAUAAAAAUUCAAGGGGAUAAGGGACAGAUGCUCAGGCAUAUUACAUUGACCUAACAGCCAGUUGGGCACAGGUCGGACAGGAACAGUCCUGGUGAGAAGAGGGGAGCAAUGGACCAAACCUGAGAGUCUCCGGUGCACAAAUAGCAGAUCCCUGAUUUUGUCUUCUCCUCCCGGAGCACUGAAACCUGGGAAACAGCAGUGAAAUAACUGUCACUUUACACUAUGCCUAAGUGGGUUUGAUCUUAAGGAUCACUCACACCUGAGAGUCAAAGAGAGAAGAGUUCAAGACAUGAAUGAAGUCAUGAAUAAACAGCUGUGUAGGAGAACAAUCUGUCAUGAUUUUGAAAGAAAACAGUUUUCCUGGUUGCAUUCAAGGAACGUUGCUCCUUCCUUUCCCCAUCUCUUGACCGGCAGGAAGGCAGCUCUUGAGAUGCUUGAAGAGAUGAACUGGAGCUCAGGUUUGGGUUGUUGUUUUUUUUUUUCACAUUGACCUGUAGGAUUUUAAGCCUCUGUUUCCCCUGGCUGCUGCUAUGGGCUCCCAGAGCACGGUGUGGAGCUGAACGAGAACAGCUUUAGGCACCACUGUGCAGAGGCUGUAGGGGUUUCCAGGCAGCUUACACGAGGCCAACAGGCAGGAUGAGAUCUUGUCUACACAUGUUCUUCUACCAGCUCUGCCACUGGAAAUUUUCCUGAAAAGAAAAGGGGUUAUAUACUGCAAACAUUUCGUGUUUCUUUACUUAAAAGUAAAGAUGCAGCUGCUUUGCAGUUCUGUAGUUUUGGCUAGCACUACCUCUUUCUAUAUCCCUUCUUAACAUGGCAAAAAAGGUAUGGAUGUGCUAAGAAAAGAAGAAAUAUAUAGAUUUUGAAUAGGAGUUGUUAAAAUUAGAAAUUUUAAGUAAUCAUAGUUGCUUCUACUUCACAGAAAUUUAUAACUUCUAUUUUCAGUUUUUUUCUUAUUACUUUUAGAAAUUUUAUUUUUCUUUCUUUUUUCCCCCCUCUUUAUUUUGUAUACCACAAAGCAAUAAGCACACUUAAUC
rnacentral:lncRNA from 1 species